ACGCUGGUGUAUUUGUCAGGUCAGCUAGACAGGACAUUAAACUUGGCGGCUCAAUGCGAAGGCAUCUAGCCAGCAAGGAGAACGUGCCAAGUGUUGGGCCACAACAUUCGACGAAGUCAAAUGCUACGUCCAAGGAAAACCAAGCCAACCUCAGCUCUGUUCCAGCAGAUAAGGAGAAUGUGAUGAGGAGCAGCUACAACCUCAGACGAGCAAAACUGUCUUCUGCAAACAAGUAGAUUGCCCACAACUUCAUGCCUCAACCUCUGACCAAGCAGCUUGCAAGCUUGUGAA
rnacentral:lncRNA from 1 species